GAAAUGCGAUAUGUAAUGUGAAUUGCAGAAUUCAGUGAAUCAUCGAAUCUUUGAACGCACCUUGCGCUCCUUGGUAUUCCUUGGAGCAUGCCUGUUUGAGUAUCAUGAAAUCUUCAAAGUAAAUCUUUUGUUAACUCAAUUGGUUUCUACUUUGGUAUUGGAGGUCUUUGCAGCUUCACACCUGCUCCUCUUUGUUCAUUAGCUGGAUCUCAGUGUUAUGCUUGGUUCCACUCGGCGUGAUAAGUUAUCUAUCGCUGAGGACACUGUAAAAGGUGGCAAAGGUAAAUGCAGAUGAACCGCUUCUAAUAGUCCAUUGACUUGGACAAUACUUUUAUGAUCUGAUCUCAAAUCAGGCAGGACUACCCGCUGAACUUAAGC
rnacentral:misc_RNA from 1 species